rnacentral:rRNA from 1 species
AACGAACGCUGGCGGCAGGCCUAACACAUGCAAGUCGAACGUGAAGCCAGAGCUUGCUCUGGUGGAAAGUGGCAGACGGGUGAGUAACGCGUGGGGAUUUACCCAGUGGUACGGAAUAACCCAAGGAAACCUGGGCUAAUACCGUAUACGCCCUCCGGGGGAAAGAUUUAUCGCCAUUGGAUGAACCCGCGUCGGAUUAGCUUGUUGGUGGGGUAAUGGCCCACCAAGGCGACGAUCCAUAGCUGGUCUGAGAGGAUGAUCAGCCACACUGGGACUGAGACACGGCCCAGACUCCUACGGGAGGCAGCAGUGGGGAAUAUUGGACAAUGGGGGCAACCCUGAUCCAGCCAUGCCGCGUGAGUGACGAAGGUCUUCGGAUUGUAAAACUCUUUUAGCAGGGACGAUAAUGACGGUAACUGCAGAAUAAGCCCCGGCUAACUUCGUG